GAAACAAAAAAAAAAAAGGAACAACAAUCAGCUCUCUCUCUCUCGUCCGAAAACACGAAACCAAGAGCAAAAAACUCUCUGAUCCUUUCCUUCCUCCACCGGCCAUCAAUCGACGCCAAACAACCUUCUGUGGCUUUGUCUCAGCCUUACGAAGCUACCUGCAGCGGUCUUGGGUCACGGCACAGCCUGAAGCGGCGGCGAAGAGGCCGGGUUCGUCCAGCCACGAUUUGAAUUCCAAGCAUGGUUGCUCGAGCUAUCGACCACGAAACCUUCUCAAACUCCAUCUACAGGUUCGCAUCAACCAUCUGAAACUCCCAGAAGCACCGUUGCACGGCGGCGCUGUCUCUGGAGGCGGCUGGAGCUCAUAAACCCGAUCGGAGAGAGAAACGGAGCAAAGGAUCCUGAUAUCUCGAGCUACAGGACGUCUUUUUGAGUGUUUCUUGGACUGGUGAACUGAGAGUGAGGAGAUGAACACCUUUCUAGAAGGGAUCGAGGCCUGAGGUUGAAGUUUUUACGUUGAAAACUCAAGCCCGCCGGAUUCUUGAAUUUUUCCGGCCACCGAAACCUUCGAUCAGGAAUAUCUCGAGCUGUAGAGCUUUGUUUUGAUUGAUUCUUGAACCAGUGAACUUGCCUUGAGUUUCUGAAGAAGUCUCCAGAAAGGAUCGAAGCGAGUGGUGGAGGUUUUUACGUCGAUCGGAGCACCUGCCGGAUUCCGGAAAAUUCCGGCCAACCCGACUGUUCUAGGUGAUUGACGGUUUUUACUGGGGCGAGCGAGUUUGGUGUGAUUGUGUUAAUUUGAAGACGCAGCGGGAGUAUCGAGGUGAGUAAACCGCACAUGGUUCAUUCACGAACCGGAGUUCUAAAUAUUUAUAUUUAAUUUUAUAAUAUUUAUAGCUGUUAACACAUGUGCGAAUGACUUUAUACAUAUUUUAUUAUUGAUAAAAUAUAUGUGUUGUUGGUUUGUGUUGAGGAAAUUAUAUAUUGAGUGAGGUGUUGAGUUUAUUGUUUGAGAAACAAUAAAUUGUUGAUUGGUUGAGAUAUAUUGAUUUGUGGAAAUCAAUAGGUCAUAGGGGUGAUCAUGGCAUCUGUUAGUGAACCACGCUCUUGUACCGAGUUGGUGGUUACUAAUAGCAUUAAAUCGUGAACCACGCUCUCGCGCCGAGUUGGUGGUUGCGAUCAGUUAGAGCUCUAGUCUGUCUGCCAAAUGUUGAGUAAUCUUAUGAGGGUAACAUGGAGUUACUUGUAACUCAUAAGUAUAUAUAUAUAUAUAUAUAUGAGAGUGAGAAAAUGACGUGGUUUUGGGGUGGUCGUUGUGAUUGUGAUAUUUCUACAAUUUCUAUGCUUAAGUUGAAAUUGUUAAUUUAAAUUUGUGCAAUCCUUAAGUUUACUCAUACGGGCUGUCAAAAGCUUACCGGGUUUGUGUUGUUGCAAUCCCGGUACACUAUUCAAACGGUGUAGCGGAUAAUCCUGCAGGUCAGGAGAAACAGGGUGGUGAUCGGGCUGCUUAGGGCAGUGGCAUUCGAGUCACAGCAUUAUUAGACUCAACUCUCACCUCUCUUUGCGAGUCGGCGUCACUCUCAUACGCUUACCUCUCUCUACCAAGUAACAAGUGACUCUAUCUUCUCUCCUCAACAUUCUGCUUUCAUUCUUUCAACCUUAUUCAGCUACAACAAAGAGAGCAUUUUUAGCCAUGAAAUUCAUUAAGAACCGACUUCAAAGUAAGAUGAGUGAUGAUUUUCUUGCAGAUUUAAUGACAGUGUAUAUUGAGAGAGAAAUUGUUGAUACCAUUUAUUCAAAUUCGGUUAUCAAUGAGUUUUAUG